rnacentral:rRNA from 1 species
UUGACCUCGAAUCAGGUAGGGAUACCCGCUGAACUUAAGCAUAUCAAUAAGCGGAGGAAAAGAAACCAACCGGGAUUACCUCAGUAACGGCGAGUGAAGCGGUAACAGCUCAAAUUUGAAAUCUGGCUCCUGCGGAGUCCGAGUUGUAAUUUGUAGAAGAUGCUUUGGGAGGUAGGGCCGGCCUAAGUUCCUUGGAACAGGACAUCAGAGAGGGUGAGAAUCCCGUAUGCGGCCGCGGCCUACGCCCGUGUAAAGCUCUUUCGACGAGUCGAGUUGUUUGGGAAUGCAGCUCAAAAUGGGUGGUAAAUUUCAUCUAAAGCUAAAUAUUGGCCAGAGACCGAUAGCGCACAAGUAGAGUGAUCGAAAGAUGAAAAGCACUUUGGAAAGAGAGUUAAACAGUACGUGAAAUUGUUGAAAGGGAAGCGCUUGCACCCAGACUUGGGCGUCGUCGAUCAUCCGAGGUUCUCCUCGGUGCACUCGACGAUGCACAGGCCAGCAUCGGUUUGGGUGGUUGGAGAAAGGCUCUAGGAACGUAGCUCUCUUCGGGGAGUGUUAUAGCCUAGGGCGUAAUGCAGCCCAUCCGGACCGAGGACCGCGCCUUCGGGCUAGGAUGCUGGCGUAAUGGUUGCAAGCGACCCGUCUUGAAACACGGACCAAGGAGUCUAACAUCUAUGCGAGUGUUUGGGCGUUAAACCCAUACGCGGAAUGAAAGUGAACGUAGGUGAGAACCCGUUAGGGUGCAUCAUCGACC